CAAAGUGCGUGCUUACACUCAGGAGGAGUUCUAUAUGCAUACAUGAUGUUGUGAAGGUAGGCAACGAGAAUGACCAACAUCAUAUCAUUGUGAGGUUAUUCUUGAACCCCUACUCGAACUUGCAUGGUGGGAAUGACUUAACUAAGUGCAAUGGAGCCAACAUCAUAUCAUUGUGAGGCUUCAUUCUCUAGAGGCCAAAAUAAGAUGGGUACUUGCAAGAGAUGCAAAUGAGUAAGCGUACUCUCUCAUUAUUAUUGAGGCUAGCCAACAUCAUAUCAUUGUGAGGUGGGCU
rnacentral:lncRNA from 1 species